rnacentral:rRNA from 2 species
UGGGCGUUAAGUUGCAGGGUAUAGACCCGAAACCCGGUGAUCUAGCCAUGGGCAGGUUGAAGGUUGGGUAACACUAACUGGAGGACCGAACCGACUAAUGUUGAAAAAUUAGCGGAUGACCUGUGGCUGGGGGUGAAAGGCCAAUCAAACCGGGAGAUAGCUGGUUCUCCCCGAAAGCUAUUUAGGUAGCGCCUCGUGAAUUCAUCUCCGGGGGUAGAGCACUGUUUCGGCUAGGGGGCCAUCCCGGCUUACCAACCCGAUGCAAACUGCGAAUACCGGAGAAUGUUAUCACGGGAGACACACGGCGGGUGCUAACGUCCGUCGUGAAGAGGGAAACAACCCAGACCGCCAGCUAAGGUCCCAAAGUCAUGGUUAAGUGGGAAACGAUGUGGGAAGGCCCAGACAGCCAGGAUGUUGGCUUAGAAGCAGCCAUCAUUUAAAGAAAGCGUAAUAGCUCACUGGUCGAGUCGGCCUGCGCGGAAGAUGUAACGGGGCUAAACCAUGCACCGAAGCUGCGGCAGCGACGCUUAUGCGUUGUUGGGUAGGGGAGCGUUCUGUAAGCCUGUGAAGGUGUGUCGUGAGGC